rnacentral:rRNA from 1 species
GACGAACGCUGGCGGCGUGCUUAACACAUGCAAGUCGAACGGAAAGGCCCUGCUUUUGUGGGGUGCUCGAGUGGCGAACGGGUGAGUAACACGUGAGUAACCUGCCCUUGACUUUGGGAUAACUUCAGGAAACUGGGGCUAAUACCGGAUAGGAGCUCCUGCUGCAUGGUGGGGGUUGGAAAGUUUCGGCGGUUGGGGAUGGACUCGCGGCUUAUCAGCUUGUUGGUGGGGUAGUGGCUUACCAAGGCUUUGACGGGUAGCCGGCCUGAGAGGGUGACUGGCCACAUUGGGACUGAGAUACGGCCCAGACUCCUACGGGAGGCAGCAGUGGGGAAUAUUGCACAAUGGGCGGAAGCCUGAUGCAGCAACGCCGCGUGCGGGAUGACGGCCUUCGGGUUGUAAGCCGCUUUCGCCUGUGACGAAGCGUGAGUGACGGUAAUGGGUAAAGAAGCACCGGCUAACUACGUGCCAGCAGCCGCGGUGAUACGUAGGGUGCGAGCGUUGUCCGGAUUUAUUGGGCGUAAAGGGCUCGUAGGUGGUUGAUCGCGUCGGAAGUGUAAUCUUGGGGCUUAACCCUGAGCGUGCUUUCGAUACGGGUUGACUUGAGGAAGGUAGGGGAGAAUGGAAUUCCUGGUGGAGCGGUGGAAUGCGCAGAUAUCAGGAGGAACACCAGUGGCGAAGGCGGUUCUCUGGGCCUUUCCUGACGCUGAGGAGCGAAAGCGUGGGGAGCGAACAGGCUUAGAUACCCUGGUAGUCCACGCUGUAAACGGUGGGUACUAGGUGUGGGGUCCAUUCCACGGGUUCCGUGCCGUAGCUAACGCUUUAAGUACCCCGCCUGGGGAGUACGGCCGCAAGGCUAAAACUCAAAGGAAUUGACGGGGCCCCGCACAAGCGGCGGAGCAUGCGGAUUAAUUCGAUGCAACGCGUAGAACCUUACCUGGGUUUGACAUGGAUCGGGAGUGCUCAGAGAUGGGUGUGCCUCUUUUGGGGUCGGUUCACAGGUGGUGCAUGGCUGUCGUCAGCUCGUGUCGUGAGAUGUUGGGUUAAGUCCCGCAACGAGCGCAACCCUUGUUCACUGUUGCCAGCACGUUAUGGUGGGGACUCAGUGGAGACCGCCGGGGUCAACUCGGAGGAAGGUGGGGAUGACGUCAAGUCAUCAUGCCCCUUAUGUCCAGGGCUUCACGCAUGCUACAAUGGCUGGUACAGAGAGUGGCGAGCCUGUGAGGGUGAGCGAAUCUCGGAAAGCCGGUCUCAGUUCGGAUUGGGGUCUGCAACUCGACCUCAUGAAGUCGGAGUCGCUAGUAAUCGCAGAUCAGCAACGCUGCGGUGAAUACGUUCCCGGG